UGCCGCAGCGCUGCUGCGUGACUGCCGGUGUAGGCGCACUAUAAAUUAGCGUAGCAGUCUAGCAGAACGAAUCAUCUAAGCAUUCUCGGUAGGACGGAGAGUCAGUGAACGGGAAGUGACAUAACUCAGUCUUGCCCCCUGCCUGCACGCUGGCUGCUUAUUGGCCACACGUGGAAGUGAGUGACAGACGCCCUGAUUCUGUUUCCGCUCCCUCCCCUGCCCGCGAUGAGGCUGGCGUCUGAUUGGUCGUGUGCUAUGUCAGUAGACGCUGCCGCUUGCUCAACGCCCUCCCACGCAGAUAACAAGGCAAGCCCCAACUUCAUAGAACGAAUCAGUGCAGAAGGUGAUUAGUUCGGUCUCGUUCACCCAAACAAUUCGUUCAAAAAGAACGAAUCGUUCACGACCGAUACAACACUAAGCAGUCGAGCAGAGCGUACAUGAAUGAGGAAAAACAUCUGUCCUAGAGUUUUUAGCGUCACACGGCGAUAAAUGCGGAAAUUAUCUGCAAUGUGUGGACCCUAAAUCCUCACGGAGGGACACGACGUGCGGGCUCCUUGGACAUUUUUCGUUAUUUCGAUAAUUUGCUUGAGGACCACCGGAGGGGAAAAACAGGCGUCGACGACGUGUCGGGCUGCGUGCAUCUUCUCAGCGUUCUCAACGGCCAUCAGCCAUCUUGCCAUCCACUAGAGCCCCAUCUCUCAUCUGUUUUUCUUCUUCUUUCUAACUUUUCCAUCGAUCUCUAUCUCAAGAACAUCAUCUCACUGAAAUACUUCAAGUCAAGCUCUUAAUCACAAACAAGUACUGGGCCUUGAAGGCUACAAUAUGACAGAGACUGGCAACAU